rnacentral:rRNA from 1 species
AGUGAACGCUGGCGGUAGGCCUAACACAUGCAAGUCGAGCGGCAGCACAGUAAGAGCUUGCUCUUACGGGUGGCGAGUGGCGGACGGGUGAGGAAUACAUCGGAAUCUACUUUUUCGUGGGGGAUAACGUAGGGAAACUUACGCUAAUACCGCAUACGACCUACGGGUGAAAGCAGGGGAUCUUCGGACCUUGCGCGAUUGAAUGAGCCGAUGUCGGAUUAGCUAGUUGGCGGGGUAAAGGCCCACCAAGGCGACGAUCCGUAGCUGGUCUGAGAGGAUGAUCAGCCACACUGGAACUGAGACACGGUCCAGACUCCUACGGGAGGCAGCAGUGGGGAAUAUUGGACAAUGGGCGCAAGCCUGAUCCAGCCAUACCGCGUGGGUGAAGAAGGCCUUCGGGUUGUAAAGCCCUUUUGUUGGGAAAGAAAAGCAGCAGGUUAAUACCCCGCUGUUCUGACGGUACCCAAAGAAUAAGCACCGGCGAACUUCGU